rnacentral:rRNA from 1 species
ACGAACGCUGGCGGCGUGCCUAAUACAUGCAAGUAGAACGCUGAAGGAGGAGCUUGCUUCUCUGGAUGAGUUGCGAACGGGUGAGUAACGCGUAGGUAACCUGCCUGGUAGCGGGGGAUAACUAUUGGAAACGAUAGCUAAUACCGCAUAAGAGUAGAUGUUGCAUGACAUUUGCUUAAAAGGUGCAAUUGCAUCACUACCAGAUGGACCUGCGUUGUAUUAGCUAGUUGGCGAGGUAACGGCUCACCAAGGCGACGAUACAUAGCCGACCUGAGAGGGUGAUCGGCCACACUGGGACUGAGACACGGCCCAGACUCCUACGGGAGGCAGCAGUAGGGAAUCUUCGGCAAUGGACGGAAGUCUGACCGAGCAACGCCGCGUGAGUGAAGAAGGUUUUCGGAUCGUAAAGCUCUGUUGUAAGAGAAGAACGAGUGUGAGAGUGGAAAGUUCACACUGUGACGGUAUCUUACCAGAAAGGGACGGCUAACUACGUG